UACGUAGGGCGCAAGCGUUGUCCGGAGUCACUGGGCGUAAAGGGCGCGUAGGUGGUGGCUUAAGCGUGCGGUGAAAGCUCGGGGCUCAACCCCGAGUCGGCCGUGCGAACUGGGCUCACUGGAGCAUAGUAGAGGCAGGUGGAAUUCCGGGUGUAGCGGUGGAAUGCGUAGAGAUCCGGAAGAACACCGGUGGCGAAGGCGGCCUGCUGGGCUAUGGCUGACACUGAGGCGCGACAGCGUGGGGAGCAAACAGG
rnacentral:rRNA from 1 species